AGUCUCUGCUCCUGAGAACGUGCAGUUCAUCUGUGUACAUAAAGUAUCUGUCAUACAUGUUAUAUUGUUUUCUUCACAGUUUCCAUUUCCAUGUGAAAUUGAACAGUAGAUGUCACCGACAUGUUUUAUGAAAAAUCCCUUCCUUAGGAUUUCUCCCCUCCUGAGAAACUGAGAGGCCUCAGGAACAAACUGUAAACAAUUCUUAUCUGCUGCUGUGGAAUGCAACAGGGGAAAUCUCUGAUUGGCCUCCUCAGGAUGUUUCCAAUUAAGAGCCAAUCACAGUUCACCUGUCCGGACUGUCUCGGUCUGGGAGAAGACCUUUGUUUUCGCAUUCCUAUUCUAUUCUUAGCUUAGCCUUGUAGUGAAAUCCUUUCCUCUAUUCUUUUAGUAUAGUUUUAAUAUAUUAUCUAUCAUAUAAUAAUAAAUCAAGCCUUCUGAUA